UAUUUAUUAUUAUUUAUUGGCGUUGGCGGCUUGACAGGAUUUAUAAGAUUAUUGACUAACUGGGAUUACGCCUUAUAAAUAAGGUUUACUCGCUGGUUAGUCGCACUCUCUAACUCUCUGUUGGGCUUUGGGCAAGAUGCUGUAGGAUUGCGUAGGAUUGUUGCUUAGCUAAGAUUACACCUUGGACGAAGGCUUGCUCCUCACUAUUUAUAUACUCUACUACUCCUUGAACAGGAUUACACCGCUUGUGACACAAUUAGGUUUACUCGUUAGUAAUCAGGAUUACACCAGGUUUGAAAACACCAGGAUUACUCUUGAUUCUACGAUUGACACCAAAUCGUUUGCGGAUUGCACCCUGACUUGAUUUACUUGACCUGAGUCUAGUUGCGGACAGUCCCAUGAAUCGACUGACCCAGCUUCUACUCGCGCUCGCCCUUUUAUACCGGCUUAACGGUACUUCCUUGAUCCUCUGUUCCAGAUUUGUUGUUGUCCUGUUUGACUGGUUACGGCUGUACAUUUGUUUGACAACAACAAUGCGUGUGACUGCGGUCAGCGCCUAGCAACAACGGUAAAUGUUGCUGGCUGGCUGUUCCGUAAUAACAACGCAAUUGGUUGUUGUUUUUAGCUGCAAUGAUACAGUUGACUAUUUUCUCAACUGUACUCCUGUAUUGUGGGAGCCUUUAUUUGGCUCCUCACACAUUUAAUUGCAAAACAUGCUGAAUUAUAUAAUGAAUUCGACGGUGACGACGACAAAGUACAACAAAAUAUGAAAAAAAGAAAAAUGUCAUAUGAAACGAGUGAAGCAUCAAUCGUCUCUUCGAUUAUAAGGAUUGUGACCGCCGAUGGAAAGCCUUUUAUAUUUCUUGAUAGCGAAGGGUUUCGGGAGAUAUUAAACCCAAUUUAUAACGCGCUUUCGAUGAAUUCCAUAACUUCUCGAAAUGUUAUGGAAUAUGUGACUGUCAAAGAGCAGACCAUUAAAGAAAAUAUUAAAGCGCAUGUAAAGGGAAAUAUUGAAAAUAGAUGUUGCCACUAGAAUGAACAAGGCUAUUUUGGGCGUAAAUUUACAAAUGAUACAGUCUAGUAUGUCUAAAACUGAUAUAUCAAGACUUUAGGCAUGAUACACCUUUGUCAUUCGCACACUGAAAUGUACAUAAAGGAAAAAAUUAUGGAGAUCAUAAAUGACUAUGGAAUCACCCUCGAUCAAGUCUUCAGUAUUACGGAUAACGGAAAAAACAUGAUUAAAGCCAUAGAAAUUUUUAAUGAUAGUUCGGAGACUCUUUUUGACGAUACACACGAUGGCAUUAACGGGGAAGAAGUGAUGGAAAAACUCGAUUCAAUACAGCUGGCGAAUAUUCACCUUGUAAGGUGUGCUGCGCACUCGCUUCAACUGUGCGUAUUCGACGUCAACAAACUAGAUGAGAUCAGCGAAAAAGUUUCAUCAUGUCGAAAAAUUUGUAAAUUAUUGUUACGAGAUGGAACUCUAUGUAUUUAAUGAUACUAAAAUUGUUAGAUUUAAAAGAGUUCCUUGAUGUACACCCUAGCAUUAGUAUUGAUGCGGACUGGGAUUGGAUGGAGAUGUAUAUUGAUGCAUUCAAGGACACAUACGAAGCGACCUUAAAAUUGCAGAAUGAAAAAUUAGUAUAAAGCGAAUUCUUUAUAAAAUGGAUGGAGCUUAAGCUAAAGUGCGAGAACAGCCUAAAUUAUAUAAAAAAAAUUCUACAACAAAUCAAAAUUCGAGAAUGUAAGUUACUUCAAAAUGAUGCAAUGUUAGCUGUAAUCUACAUUGAUCCACGCGUUAAUUGCAUCUUGAAUGGCCAGCAAAAAUACUUAGCAAAGCUAAAUCUAAAAAAAAUAGCAUACCGUUUAUUGGAGCUAAAGAAAGUGCAUUACCCAACUCAAAAUGCGUCAUCAUUCGAGGUUGAUGUCCAGGACCAGAAGAAGGAGCUCACAUCCGACGGGGAUAAAUGUGCUGACAAAGAAGAGUCUCUGUUGUCCGCCUAUUUGGAUGACGUACAGACAAUAUCCGAAAUGAAAGAAGACCCUGCAUCUAAAAAACUGGUCCAAAUCUAUGCUGACAUAGAAAAUUUCGACCUUAUGCAUGGACGUUUGCCAUUACAGACAUAAAGCUGCAGUCGCCCCAUCUGUGUGCGCUCGCACACGUAGUACUGGCUACACCGGCGACUCAGGUGACUGUUGAGAGGGCAUUUUCAGCGCUUCACUGCUCUUUAAGGCCGCGCGCACACUGGGCGCUGAAAGCGGAGCUGAUAGCGGAGCUUAUAAGCGAGCUGAUAAGAUCUGAGCUUUUCAGCGAGCUGAAAUUUUUAAGCUGCGCACACAGAAAGCUUAUUUUUAGCUAAUGCUGAUGCUCAUUUUAAUAUCAGUCACUCAUAGAUUUUCACGCAAUAUGGUUUCAACGCGGCUGCGUCAGUUUUUUCUAACUGAAAAUAAUAGAAUAAAUCGUAAAAUAAAGAAAGAGAAGAGAUAAGUAUGGGUGCAUGCAAUAUACAAAGAACGAGAAGUAUUGGGCGAAUUUCACCACUUGUAUUUUCAGUUACGCGAAUUCCCAAUUAAAUUUUACGAAUAUUCGCGAAUGCAAGUAGAAACAUUUGAUUACAUUUUAAGUGGAGUUCAAGAAAAAAUUCAGAAGCUUGAUACGAAUUUUAGGAAGCCAAUUUCACCCACAGAAAGGCUUUUUGUUACAAUAAGGUA